GUCGAGCGGACCGACGGGAGCUUGCUCCCUUAGGUCAGCGGCGGACGGGUGAGUAACACGUGGGUAACCUGCCUGUAAGACUGGGAUAACUCCGGGAAACCGGGGCUAAUACCGGAUGCUUGAUUGAACCGCAUGGUUCAAUCAUAAAAGGUGGCUUUUAGCUACCACUUACAGAUGGACCCGCGGCGCAUUAGCUAGUUGGUGAGGUAACGGCUCACCAAGGCGACGAUGCGUAGCCGACCUGAGAGGGUGAUCGGCCACACUGGGACUGAGACACGGCCCAGACUCCUACGGGAGGCAGCAGUAGGGAAUCUUCCGCAAUGGACGAAAGUCUGACGGAGCAACGCCGCGUGAGUGAUGAAGGUUUUCGGAUCGUAAAACUCUGUUGUUAGGGAAGAACAAGUACCGUUCGAAUAGGGCGGCACCUUGACGGUACCUAACCAGAAAGCCACGGCUAACUACGUGCCAGCAGCCGCGGUAAUACGUAGGUGGCAAGCGUUGUCCGGAAUUAUUGGGCGUAAAGCGCGCGCAGGCGGUUUCUUAAGUCUGAUGUGAAAGCCCCCGGCUCAACCGGGGAGGGUCAUUGGAAACUGGGGAACUUGAGUGCAGAAGAGGAGAGUGGAAUUCCACGUGUAGCGGUGAAAUGCGUAGAGAUGUGGAGGAACACCAGUGGCGAAGGCGACUCUC
rnacentral:rRNA from 1 species